CUGCGGUGAUGACUUCUUAGGACACCUUUGGAUUCAGCAUGAAAACACUCUGUUAAGUCUGAGCAGC